CUCUGGCCUGCCCUUGUGUAAAGCAGUAGAAGGGUAAACCUAAAACCAGAGCAAGAAAAGGAGUAUCUAGACGAUCAGAGUCCAAGUCCUUUUACCCUUCUUCCGUUGGAAGUUAAUCUACCUAUGCUCGGUUGUGUCGUCGAGCUUCUUCUCUUUAAGCUCCAAAGGGAGGGUUUCCUCGCUAAAUGCUCUAUUUCUUCAGACCCAUCAAAGUCUUCUUCCAUUUCAUGUCUUCAAUCGACGCCUCUCUUUCCUCUGCUCCUUGUUGUUCAGAGAGGAAGUGGUCUCAAACCCUAACUUUUAUCCAUAUCCUCUUUAUAACUUUUCUUGUCUUUUUUGCUCCUUUCUCUUCGAGGUUUGGUUUUUAUACGCGCAGUGGGUUCUACAGCUCUGGUGUUUACACAACAUGAAUAGCAGCAAGGUGAUUUUGUCUUGGGGUUCAAUUAACAAAAAUUCGCAAAUUUUGUUUUUUUAUUUUUCUAUCACUUUUGUUUAGUAUGUGAAAAGAUGGAUUUUUGGAUGUGUUCAUCCGUCUUAAGCUUGCUUCAAAGAGAAAAUGUUCACAUUCAGGCAUUUAAAUCAGCUCAGUAAUAGGAAAUUGGUGCUAGGGGAAGCAUUAAUAAGGAUUUUUUUAGAAAUGGGUAUUUUUGCAGAUGAUCAAUUUAGCAUUAUUUUUUGUUGCAUAACCAUUUCAUUGUCCAUCAGUACAU
rnacentral:misc_RNA from 1 species